GGGCUUGUAGCUCAACUGGUAGAGCUGGGGAUUGAAAAUCCCUGCGAGGUGGUUCAACUCCACUCGGGCCCA
rfam:Butyrivibrio proteoclasticus strain P18 genome assembly, contig: Ga0066879_144